CAAAGGCUUGGUCCUGACUUUACUGUCAGCUUUGACUAGAUUUACACAUGCAAGUAUCCGCCCUCCUGUGAGGAUGCCCAUUUCUCCCUGUUCAGGAACAUGGAGCCGGUAUCAGGCACACUCCUUAGUAGCCCACGACACCUUGAUAAGCCACGCCCUCAAGGGAAUUCAGCAGUGAUAAACAUUAAGCCAUGAGCGAAAGCUUGACUUAGUUAAAGCCAUUCAGGGCCGGUAAAACUCGUGCCAGCCACCGCGGUUAUACGAGAGGCCCAAGUUGACAGACCGCGGCGUAAAGCGUGGUUAAGGAAAAACAAAAACUAAAGCCGAACGACCUCAAGGCUGUUAUACGCUUCCGAAGGUACGAAGCUCAAUCACGAAAGUGGCUUUAAUCCACACCUGACUCCACGAAAGCUGAGAAACAAACUGGGAUUAGAUACCCCACUAUGCUCAGUCCUAAACAUCGAUCGUCUACCACAACCCCGAUCCGCCUGGGAAUUACGAACACUAGUCUGAAACCCAAAGGACUUGGCGGUGCUUUACAUCCACCUAGAGGAGCCUGUCCUAUAACCGAUAAACCCCGUUCAACCUCACCCUCUCUUGCUUUAUUCCGCCUAUAUACCGCCGUCGUCAGCUUACCCUGUGAAGGCCCAAUAGUAAGCACAAUCGGCACAGCCCAGUACGUCAGGUCGAGGUGUAGUGUAUGAGAGGGGAAGAGAUGGGCUACAUUCGCUAACAUUAGCGAAUACGAACGCUGCAUUGAAAUAUGCAACUGAAGGAGGAUUUAGUAGUAAGCCGGAAACAGAGUGUCCCGCUGAAAUUGGCUCUAAAGCGCGUACAUACCGCCCGUCACCCUCUCUAGGCCUAUAGAACUACAUUUAUCUAAAACCCUUCGACUGCAAAAGGGAGGAAAGUCGUAACAUGGUAAGCGUACCGGAAGGUGUGCUUGGCAAAAU
rnacentral:ncRNA from 1 species